AUUGAACGCUGGCGGCAGGCCUAACACAUGCAAGUCGAACGAGCGGCGGACGGGUGAGUACUGUAUGGGGACUGCCCGAUAGAGGGGGAUAACUACUGGAAACGGUAGCUAAUACCGCAUACUAUCGGAUAACCCAUAUGGGAUUAGCUAGUCGGUGAGGGAAUGGCUCACCUAGGCGACUAUCCCUAGCCGGUCUGAGAGGAUGAUCAGCGACACGGGGACUGAGACACGGCCCAUACGCCUACGGAGGCAGCAGUGGGGAAGAGUGCACAAUGGGCGCAAGCCUGAUGCAGCCAUGCCGCGUGUAUGAAGAAGGCCCUAGGGUUGUAAAGUACUUUCAGUCGGGAGGCGUUACCUACAGAAGAAGCACCGGCUAACUCCGUGCCAGCAGCCGCGGUAAUUC
rnacentral:rRNA from 1 species